rnacentral:rRNA from 1 species
AGUCUGAUCCUGGCUCAGAUUGAACGCUGGCGGCAGGCCUAACACAUGCAAGUCGAACGGUAACAGGAAACAGCUUGCUGUUUCGCUGACGAGUGGCGGACGGGUGAGUAAUGUCUGGGAAACUGCCUGAUGGAGGGGGAUAACUACUGGAAACGGUAGCUAAUACCGCAUAACGUCGCAAGACCAAAGAGGGGGACCCUCGGGCCUCUUGCCAUCGGAUGUGCCCAGAUGGGAUUAGCUUGUUGGUGGGGUAACGGCUCACCAAGGCGACGAUCCCUAGCUGGUCUGAGAGGAUGACCAGCCACACUGGAACUGAGACACGGUCCAGACUCCUACGGGAGGCAGCAG